rnacentral:lncRNA from 1 species
CAGACGACUGCUGUGCUCUCUGUUGAUAAUAAUUCUUUUCUCCCCAAACGAUGAGUUUAUGGCUACCCUUUCUUUUAUUUUCAUGACAAGAAAUUACAGAAACAAGUGGAAUCAAUAUUCACAAUCCUAUGUGUUUUUAUAUAUGCUAUAGAGUAAAAAUCGUGGCCCAUUUUUCUGUGAGUGUGUGUUUUUCCUUUGACGAUAGAACCUGUCAAAUGGAAAUGAUAAAAUGGCUUGAAAACUUUGUGAACUAGGGUCUUGUGCUGAACUGUGGACUGUAUAGAUAAAGGCUAUCACGCGGCUAGAUAACCAUAUCGUCUCCCCUUUUUUUAUUUAAAUAAAAAAUAACUUAUUUCCUCGUUUAAAUGAAUUAUACCAACAGACUGUUCAAGAGUUUUCUGUGUGUUACCGAUUGUUUCACCAGCUUAAUUGAAGUAGCUCUGACGAGCUUGUGACGUGAUGAUUACGUUCAGCAACCAAAGCUAUUCAACUCUACACGUACCCUACAUGCUGUAUACAAGGGACACAAAAGUUGAAAUGAAAAGUCAUGUUUUUUACUUUUUGAGGGGUGAAGAAGGGAGCGAUCUGUUAUUAUUUUAUAAUCAGACCUUGCUCGAGGAUGAACUUGCCUCGUUUCACGCAAUCUUUUUCCCCCUACAGUAGCAGGACAUAUAGAUGUUCCAUCAUUGGUUUUUAAAGCUUUAAAACGUAACUUUCCGUGAUGUGACACAUUACCAGCAUUGUUUGACUCAGUUGUGAAUUUUUGGAAAAGGAAAAAUCGGGGUAAAGUAUUCUAAGCAAUUCGUUCAGAACAGAGAAAUUCAGAAAAUGAAACUAAUGCGAUGCCAGUGAACCCAACGGAGGAAAUGUCACCACCGUGUUACGUAAAGAAUUUCGACACGCGUUUAUGCACACCUGUCCUUGCUCUCCCGGAAUCGACUUUAUGCUCCGUUGUACACACAGGCUGUGUGUAUGUUGCGGUCAUUGAUCGUCGAGAACUGCACGCGUGAAGUCAUUCGCAACUGGUUUAACGUGCUUUUGCUGCCGUCGACUGCAGUCAGGGGAGACUAUCGUAUAUACAUAUUUAUUUCAUUAUCAUUUCUCCCUAAAAGGUAUGGGAGGGUAUAUCGAAAGACACGCAUAUAACGACACACACCAGACUAGUUUUUCUCCCAACAACUAAAUUUCCUGAUUUUCUUUUUGUAAUCUCACAGAGCAUUUCCACAAAAAGAAAAAAAGAACACCGAAGUUCUUAGUAGUACCACCUUCUUUUUUUAACCAGGUGGUCUUUUAAAAAAGAUCCAAAAGGGAACUUCAAAGUCUCAAAAAAACAUUCAGGUUCUAUGUACAAGGUCGUGUGUUGUCUCCAGCUGCAACUGUUUUGUGUACUAUCGUAUCCUUUUUUUUUGUAGUUUGAAUUUUGAACGAGAGAUAUUAUAAUAUUAUUAUUAUUAUAAUAAAGCUCCCAACUUGUUCUUCUUCUUUGGGAAUUUACUGGUAAACAAAACAACAGCACUGUUGCUUCCACCGAAGCGUAUCAAAUGAAGUAAGAGUGAUGCAGCAAAUCGGCCGUUCCAGUCGUUUGACUGCCGAGCUUAGGACAACAGCUGCA